AUUGAACGCUGGCGGCAUGCCUAACACAUGCAAGUCGAACGGCAGCACAGUAAAGACUUCGGUCUUUAUGGGUGGCGAGUGGCGGACGGGUGAGUAACGCGUAGGAAUCUGUCCUGGAGGUCGGAAUAACCCGAGGUAACGCGGGCUAAUACCGCAUGAUAUCGAGAGAUCAAAAGCCGGGGACCCUUCGGGCCCUUGCGCGCUAGGAUGAGCCUACGUCGGAGUAGCUAGUUGGCGGGGUAAAGGCCUACCAAGGCGACGAUCGGUAGAUGGUCUGAGAGGGUGAACAGCCGCACUGGGACUGAGACACGGCCCAGACUCCUGCGGGAGGCAGCAGUGGGGAAUCUUGGACAAUGGGGGAAACCGUGAUCCAGCGAUGCCGCGUGUGUGAAGAAGGCCUUCGGGUUGUAAAGCACUUUAGUUGGGGAAGAAAAGUAAUAAGUGAAUAAGUGAUUGCUCUGACGGUACCCAAAGAAUAAGCACCGGCUAACUCUGUGCCAGCAGCCGCAGUAA
rnacentral:rRNA from 1 species